AUGAGCUGGGCUGCCUCAUAUAAUAACGAGCAGAUUCCAGAGCAUACACAGGCAGUGUCGGCAUGCAUAAAAUGCGAGAGCUCACCAACCGAUAGCCAGCAGAGCUGUCUCAUCGCAAGCCGCCGCCUCACACAGUGGCGGCAUGGCCCACGGGACCGUCUCCGUUCCGUCGCGGUGUGGAAUUCUGUAAUCUGCAGCGUGCCGCCUCACACCAUGGCGGCAGGGGCUGCCGCCUUGCGCCGUGACGGCAGGUGCCACGUGUCAGCUGGCGCGCCUACCGCCACGGUCAAGGGGGUCUUUUCUGACUAUUUGAUUUAA
rnacentral:rRNA from 1 species